rnacentral:rRNA from 1 species
GACGAACCGUGCGAACGUUGUUCGGAAUCAUUGGGCUUAAAGGGCGCGUAGGCGGGCCGCCGAGUCCGGGGUGAAAUCCUCCAGCUUAACUGGAGAACUGCCCCGGAUACUGGAGGUCUCGAGGAGGGUAGGGGCAUGCGGAACUGUGGGUGGAGCGGUGAAAUGCGUUGAUAUCCACAGGAACUCCGAUGGCGAAGGCAGGUCUCUGGGCAUUAACUGACGCUGAAGAGCGAAAGCAUGGGGAGCAAACAGG